UUUCCAGUCCCCUUUAUCCCCAA
rnacentral:tRNA from 1 species